GGCGAACGCUGGCGGCGUGCUUAACACAUGCAAGUCGAACGGUAAGGCCCUUCGGGGUACACGAGUGGCGAACGGGUGAGUAACACGUGGGUGAUCUGCCCUGCACUUCGGGAUAAGCCUGGGAAACUGGGUCUAAUACCGGAUAGGACCACUGCCUGCAUGGGUGGUGGUGGAAAGCUUUUGCGGUGUGGGAUGGGCCCGCGGCCUAUCAGCUUGUUGGUGGGGUGAUGGCCUGCCAAGGCGACGACGGGUAGCCGGCCUGAGAGGGUGACCGGCCACACGGGGACUGAGAUACGGCCCAGACUCCUACGGGAGGCAGCAGUGGGGAAUAUUGCACAAUGGGCGCAAGCCUGAUGCAGCGACGCCGCGUGAGGGAUGACGGCCUUCGGGUUGUAAACCUCUUUCAGCACCGACGAAGCGCAAGUGACGGUAGGUGCAGAAGAAGGACCGGCCAACUACGUGCCAGCCGCCGCCGUAA
rnacentral:rRNA from 1 species